rnacentral:rRNA from 1 species
GACGAACGCUGGCGGCGUGCUUAACACAUGCAAGUCGAACGGAAAGGCCCUGCUUUUGUGGGGUGCUCGAGUGGCGAACGGGUGAGUAACACGUGAGUAACCUGCCCUUGACUUUGGGAUAACUUCAGGAAACUGGGGCUAAUACCGGAUAGGAGCUCCUGCUGCAUGGUGGGGGUUGGAAAGUUUCGGCGGUUGGGGAUGGACUCGCGGCUUAUCAGCUUGUUGGUGGGGUAGUGGCUUACCAAGGCUUUGACGGGUAGCCGGCCUGAGAGGGUGACCGGCCACAUUGGGACUGAGAUACGGCCCAGACUCCUACGGGAGGCAGCAGUGGGGAAUAUUGCACAAUGGGCGGGGGCCUGAUGCAGCAACGCCGCGUGCGGGAUGACGGCCUUCGGGUUGUAAACCGCUUUCGCCUGUGACGAAGCGUGAGUGACGGUAAUGGGUAAAGAAGCACCGGCUAACUACGUG